CGAACCGUCCUGACCGUGUAGCUCAGUUGGAAGAGCAUUGGGCUAGUAUUCCAAAGGUCGUAGGUUCGAAUCCCACCGUGGCCGGGCAUAUUUUUCAAGCUCGCCCGGUGUGGAUAUGCACUCAGAGUAACAUCACAAACAUAUUAUUCACCUGAGUACACAACACCAGCACAGAAAAAAAAAAAUUCAUAUUACAAGAACACAUUGGUAUUGAAAGAACUAGAUACUGUUCCGAAAUAUCACUUACUCGAACCGUCCUGACCGCGUAGCUCAGUUGGAAGAGCAUUGGGCUAGUAUUCCAAAGGUCGUAGCUUCGAAUCCUACCGUGGCCGGGCAUAUUUUUCAAGCUCGCCCGGUGUGGAUAUGCACUCAGAGUAACAUCACAAACAUAUUAUUCACCUGAGUACACAACACCAGCACAGAAAAAAUUCAUAUUACAAGAACACAUUGGUAUUGAAAGAACUAGAUACUGUUCCGAAAUAUCACUUACUCGAACCGUCCUGACCGCGUAGCUCAGUUGGAAGAGCAUUUGGCUAGUAUUCCAAAGGUCGUAGGUUCGAAUCCCACCGUGGCCGGGCAUAUUUUUCAAGCUCGCCCGGUGUGGAUAUGCACUCAGAGUAACAUCACAAACAUAUUAUUCACCUGAGUACACAAC